GACGAACGCUGGCGGCGUGCUUAACACAUGCAAGUCGAACGGAAAGGCCUGCUUUCCCUUGUGGUUUGCGGGUACUCGAGUGGCGAACGGGUGAGUAACACGUGAGUUAUCUGCCCCCAACUUGGGUAUAAGCCUGGGAAACUGGGUCUAAUUCCCGAUAGUACUGCAGGGUGGUGCCUGUGGUGGAACACGAUUUUCUAGUGGUUGGGGAUGAGCUCGCGGCCUAUUAGCUUGUUGGUGGGGUAAUGGACUACCAAGCCGUCGACGGGUAGCCGGCCUGAGAGGGUGGACGGCCGCAUUGGGACUGGGAUACGGCCCAGACUCCUGCGGGAGGCAGGAGUGGGGAAUAUUGGACAAUGGGCGGAAGCCUGAUGCAGCGACGCCGCGAGGGGGAUGACGGCCUUCGGGUGGUAAACUCCUUUCGACCGCGAGGAAGCCACCUAGUUGGAAGGGUGGUGACGGUAGUGGUAGAAGAAGCACCGGCUAACUACGUG
rnacentral:rRNA from 1 species